UAAAGCCACAGAAACAAACCAGAAAACUCAUUCUCGCCAGUGUUUCUCUCUCUUCUCACAAGACCAUAAAGUGGCUCUGCAACUCCCACAAUCUCUCUCGGUCGCCACCUACCGGAGAAGACGGUGGUUGCCGGCCAACGGCGGCGACGCCACCUUCUUCAAACCAAACAGAUCUAAACCCCAGCCCCCCUUAUUUCAGGCCCGUGAUUACGAAUACGGCCUUACUUUGCUCUAAAAUCUCCUCAAACAACCAGAUCGGAACUCCACCCACACAAAAACAAAACCAAAUAAAAGAAAAAAGUAUUCAGGCCAACGUGACAAAAUCAAGGCGAACGAGAUGGAUUCGAAGCUACAAAGAAGGUGUUUCGACGCGAUUAAGUUGGUUUUUACAAACGAUGUAUCAAAGUGAGUAAUGCGAGGUAAAACUUUUCAAGCAAAAGAGAAAGAAAAAUGGUAUACUUGUUUGGAGACGAAUCGUCGGCGACAUUUUCUCCUCCAUUUUCCGAGAUAAGCUUCCUUCUUCUAAUUUUCAAUUCUUUUUCCUUCUUCUAUUUUUUUACGCUGUGCUUUUUAGCUUGAGCUCAUUUAGGUUAGAGUUUUGGUAUGAAGCUCUAGCUUAAACCUGAAAAAUCUUGAGCUUUAAUGAAAGGGUUCUUGGGGAUUUUUUGGUAGAAUAACGGUAUUCCUUUUCAAUGAUUGAUCGUGUGCUUUUAUAGGUGGAGAAUCCCGUGUUCGCACACGUGAAAAAUGAAGAUAAAUCCAAAGAAUAAUCAAAGGAAUCAUGUGAGUAGUAGCUGUCCGGAUUUUUCCAAGAUUUCCAAUUCGUUAGAGUGGAUCUUUCCCCUGAUCUCGUGGGGACCAAAUACGUUAGAGGUCAUACUUCAUUGUCCCUCGUCGGCCGGUAAGUGAGUGUGUGAUGGUCUUGCUUGAAACGAAUGUAAAGUUAGGUGUAAACAGCACACAGAUUUGAAGCUUCACGUAAUUUAUUUUGUAGUAAUGAGUUUGGGACAAUCCAUGUUUGUAAUCUAGAACUUGUGAUUUUAAUGAUGUAAAUUCUAGCCUUUGUACAUGAAACCUAAAGCUUGAUUGUCGUGCCA